CCACUGAAGGAUGUGACAAAGAGCUAAACUGGGAUUGGGAGUGUGGCAGCAGCCACUCAUGCCACAGACAUACAUAUUUCAUAUAUGCAUGAAGGAGCAGAAAUAAGAUUAUUUAAGUUGUCUUAAUGACAGCAUGUCUUUUUUGAAUGUUUGAUUUUGCAGGAUUGCUUGUAAGCUAUGGAAGGAACAGUCAGCUGUGAGUGAUGCACUCACAUGGUAUAACCACUGGGAAACAGAGGGAGACAUGGACUGACAAUGAUCCUGAAAGCUUUCCAGACUGGGUACAGUCUCACACAGCUGUGGUGAUAAACACCAUAUUUCACCAUAAAAGAGUGCCAAGAGACUGCCAGAGGCCAGCAACCUUUGACUGAAGAGAGUUUGUUAAAAGAGCUAAAUGUCAGUGAAAAUGUGCUGUUAAUCCUACUCAUCAACAAAUGUUAACCACAAAGUGAUAAUAAAGAGAAAAAAGAAAAGACCUGGCUCCAAUCAGGAUUAUGCUGGAGCUGACAAUGUCACCCAGGAAGCCGUUGUCAUCCCCUACCAAGAGACAAGAGCCCUGCCUGCAGAAGGAAAUGAGCAAAAGGCUCCGGAUAGACAGCUUGACACAAUGUCACCAGAAAGGUGGUGCUGGCUUGGUGAUAAACAGCACAGAUACUUCUUUUAGAAAAAGUAGAAGAAAGACCCAACCUUCUGAAAGAAAUGUUGCUUCUGGCAUGGCUGCCUCUUGAGCUCACCUCUUGAUGUGGUUCCAACAGCAUUUAAAGAAUAGCCAGACAUUUAAUGAAUUUACAAAAGAGUGAUUAGGACCUUCACAAAACACAAAGAGACCUAAUACCUGUCAACAUCAUCAUUAACCAUACAAAUCGUCACCACCAUCCUUUUUCCCCACUUUUGCAAUGGGAAGCCACCACUGGUAGAAUGUGUCCAACACAUUUCUGCUUUGCAGAAAGCAGGUUACUGCUUCUGGCUAUUUCACAAUGAGGUAGCCAGAGAUGACUCAGCUAGACAGGAUUUGUUUGUUUGUUUGAGUGAGGUGUUUUGCUGUUUGAGUUAUUUUUAAACUUUGAGGGCUAGAGAAGCUUUACAAAGGGAUUUGAAAGCAAAUCGUAGUGAAUAUUUGACUCAAACUAAGUGUGCACGUAUAAGUGUACUCAAAAACUGACAUGUACACACUUAUGUUUACUAUUUCUUCAGUACUGUUUGAUGUGAACAAAUGCUUAAAUUCAAACACAGAAUGAGAUGAAUGCUUGACGUUCAUAACACACAUCUUAAACUAACAGAACUUGUGAACAUAAAGAGGCCAAAUCAAUUAACAUGCUGCUUAUGGCAUUGCAGAAGAUUCCAUCUUGUUUUCUCAUUAGUACAUAUUUCUCUGCCCAAGAUCACAAGUCUUAAACAUACAGUCAUCCAAAGCAGAAUGCUUGCAUCUGUCAUUAGGUCUGUGAGAUAUGAAAUCUAUUAAAUCCAUGAGCCCUGACACUUUUCUUUCCUCUAAGAAUUCAGAAGUACAAUAAAAACUUCAGGUUUUUUAUAUUUUAUAAGAAU
rnacentral:lncRNA from 1 species